GACGAACGCUGGCGGCGUGCCUAAUACAUGCAAGUCGAACGCAGUGGGGACGGGUGAUUAACACGUGGGUAACCUCCCAUCAGAGGGGAUAACACUUGGAAACAGGUGCUAAACCGCUACUGAUGGAUGGACCCGCGGUGCAUUAGCUAGUUGGUGAGGUAACGGCUCACCAAGGCCACGAUGCAUAGGCGACCUGAGAGGGUGAUCGGCCACACUGGGACUGAGACACGGCCCAGACUCCUACGGGAGGCAACAGUAGGAAAACUUCGGGAAUGGGCGAAAGGCUGACCGAACAACGCCGCGUGAGUAAAGAAGGUUUUCGGAUCGUAAAAUUCUGUUGUUAGAGAAGCGGUAUCUAACCAGAAAGCCACGGCUAACGACGUGCCAGCAGCCGCGGUAAUUC
rnacentral:rRNA from 1 species